GACGAACCGUGCGAACGUUGUUCGGAUUCACUGGGCUUAAAGGGCGCGUAGGCGGUCGACCAAGUCUGGGGUGAAAUCUUUCGGCUCAACCGGAAAAGUGCCCCCGAUACUGGCCGGCUAGAGGGAGAUAGGGGCAUGCGGAACUUCCGGUGGAGCGGUGAAAUGCGUAGAUAUCGGAAGGAACGCCGGUGGCGAAGGCGGGUCUCUGGACAGUUCCUGACGCUGAGGCACGAAGGCCAGGGGAGCAAACGGG
rnacentral:rRNA from 1 species